GUGAAAAGCCAAAGAACACAUGCAGUACUACUCUAUGGCGACUGGUUGAGGAGAACAGAAGCAGGCACAUAAAAACGGAGGUGAACCGCAUUGGUAAGAGACCGUCGUACCAAAAAGGCACAGUGAGGUCAAGACCUAACAACUUUACGGAGAAACCCAACAGUUCCCACAAUGAGCAAGCCCUCGGCGACUGUGGAGAAGAAGAAAAAUCCCUUUUGACAGGAAGAAAUCUCAAGCGGAACCGGACUCAGUUGUGGGCGAAACAUCUGCAGCGACCGGCAAAUGACGAGCAAUGGCAGAGGCCUGAAGCUUGCUUGAAAUAGCCAAUGGCAGAAACAGUUGGUCAGCAGUCAGCAGUCAGCAAUAUAAGGUUUAUGCAGUGAGAUGAACUAGGGGAAAAAAAUCCACUUGUAUAGUUAUAGUAUUCACUUUAGGUGACAUAAAGAAUAACAGGGCCGUCUUUGUGAUUGGACAACAGAAUACAUAGAAAGUUCACAGAAAAAACCUGGAGAUUGGCAUGGGGCACCGAAAACAGUCAAUGAGUAAACAGCCAUGAGGCUAUAGUACCAUAAGGGCACCAGGGACGCCGAAGACGAGGACUGGAAUUAUCUGCCAAAGGACAGACAGGACCGUGGCGCAAUGGCAGCAAAAUACUGGAUGCCAUGUGGAAAGGCAUGAGCAUGCAUAUGGCCCAAAGCAGAGAGCUGGUGACUGCACACAAGCGACCCUUUGCUACUGGGCAAAUAGACUCCGAGCUGCAGUCGGAUGCCAGGGCGGGCAUGUUGCGCCCCCAAUCUCUGGCUGCGUGGUUAAUGUGGCUGGCUUCCUCCAGGCACGGUAUGACAUGUGGCUCAUCCCAGCAGGGAGCUGGGAGUCACAACAACAAUGACACUUGUGUCCACAUUGCUAUGCUGCUCACUUUUUGCGGAGAGCCAUAAUAAACACACUCUUCCCGGUGCCAACAACCA